AUUGAACGCUGGCGGCAGGCCUAACACAUGCAAGUCGAACGAGUGGCGGACGGGUGAGUAAUGUCUGGGAAACUGCCUGAUGGAGGGGGAUAACUACUGGAAACGGUAGCUAAUACCGCAUACCAUCAGAUGUUCCCAGAUGGGAUUGGCUUGUUGGUGGGGGAACGGCUCACCAAGGCGACGAUCACUAGCUGGUCUGAGAGGAUGACCAGCCAAACUGGAACUGAGACACGGUCCAGACUCCGACGUGAGGCAGCAGUGGGGAAGAGUGAACAAUGGGCGCAAGCCUGAUGCAGCCAUGCCGCGUGUAUGAAGAAGGCCGUCGGGUUGUAAAGUACUUUCAGCGGGGAGGCGUUACCCGCAGAAGAAGCACCGGCUAACUCCGUGCCAGCCGCCGCGGUAAUAC
rnacentral:rRNA from 1 species